CCCUUAGAUGUUCUGGGCCGCACGCGCGCUAUACUGAUGCAUUCAACGAGUCUAAAACCUGCUCUGAUAGGGGUGGGUAAUCUUUUGAAUGUGCAUCGUGAUUGGGAUAGAUGAUUGCAAUUUUUCAUCUUCAACGAGGAAUGCCUAGUAAACGCAAGUCAUCAGCUUGCAUUGAUUACGUCCCUGCCCUUUGUACACACCGCCCGUCGCUCCUACCGAUUGAAUGAUCCGAUGAAUAUCAUGGAUUGAGGAUGCAAGUAGGUUAGCCUAUCUUCAUCUUCGAGAAGUGAAGUAAAUCUUAUCAUUUAGAGGAAGGAGAAGUCGUAACA
rnacentral:rRNA from 1 species